AAGUCGUAACAAGGUUUCCGUAGGUGAACCUGCGGAAGGAUCAUUAACGUAUCUCUGGUCUGGGAGGGCGGUCCGUCCCGCGACAUUGUGUGGUCUCCUGCAGCCCGUCGGGGCUGGCCGCUCCUGCCGACCAAAACCUUACAAACCCCCCUGUGCACCUUAACGGCCGAUGGCCCCUCGGGGCCGGAAGCCGCUUCACUAAACACUCGAGGAUGUCUCUGCGAACUCUGUUCGCCUAACUACCGAAACAACUUUCAACAACGGAUCUCUUGGCUCUC
rnacentral:misc_RNA from 1 species